CCUACGGGAGGCAGCAGUGGGGAAUCUUGCGCAAUGGGCGAAAGCCUGACGCAGCCAUGCCGCGUGAAUGAUGAAGGUCUUAGGAUUGUAAAAUUCUUUCACCGGGGACGAUAAUGACGGUACCCGGAGAAGAAGCCCCGGCUAACUUCGUGCCAGCAGCCGCGGUAAUACGAAGGGGGCUAGCGUUGCUCGGAAUUACUGGGCGUAAAGGGAGCGUGGGCGGAUAGUUUAGUCAGAGGUGAAAGCCCAGGGCACAACCUUGGAAUUGCCUUUGAUACUGGCUAUCUUGAGUAUGGGAGAGGUUAGCGGAACUCCGAGUGUAGAGGUGAAAUUCGUAGAUAUUCGGAAGAACACCAGUGGCGAAGGCGGCUAACUGGCCCAUUACUGACGCUGAGGCUCGAAAGCGUGGGGAGCAAACAGGAUUAGAUACCCUGGUAGUCCACGCCGUAAACGAUGAGUGCUAGUUGUCGGCAUGCAUGCAUGUCGGUGACGCAGCUACGACAUAAGACACUCCGCCGUCGGGAGGUACGGUCGCGAGAAGUUAAACUACGAAGGAAGUAGACGGCGUGAGACGUGCCGAACGGACGACCGACGAGGGAGGUAGG
rnacentral:rRNA from 1 species